AAGUUGUAACUGAUCAUCGAUAUGCAGGUUUCGUUCCGGCGACUGGAAGUCUUCACCGUAAUUGUUCCGUUCGUGUUUCAAGUCCAUUUCUGCAGCUGGAGUUGAACAAGGAGAUGCUGUUAGUGUGCAUUAUGAUCCUAUGAUUGCUAAGCUUGUUUCGGGAGAAAAUCGUGUUGUUUGAGGUUUAUGUUCAAGAGGUUUCUGACUUUGGCUUAGCUUUUUUAAUUGACAGUGUGCUAAAAUUGUGUAGAGUAAACAUUUUGCAGCUAAUUUUCAACCCUUCAAAAAUUCAAAUUCCUACAAAAUCACUGAGGUCAUUUCUCUUUCAGGCUUUCCUUCACGGUUUUUAAAAUGUGUUUGGUGAGGAGGGGUUUUCACACCCUUAUAAAGAAUGCUUCGUUCGCCUAA